rnacentral:rRNA from 2 species
UAGGGAAUCUUCCGCAAUGGACGAAAGUCUGACGGAGCAACGCCGCGUGAGUGAUGAAGGUUUUCGGAUCGUAAAACUCUGUUGUUAGGGAAGAACAAGUACGAGAGUAACUGCUCGUACCUUGACGGUACCUAACCAGAAAGCCACGGCUAACUACGUGCCAGCAGCCGCGGUAAUACGUAGGUGGCAAGCGUUGUCCGGAAUUAUUGGGCGUAAAGCGCGCGCAGGCGGUCCUUUAAGUCUGAUGUGAAAGCCCACGGCUCAACCGUGGAGGGUCAUUGGAAACUGGGGGACUUGAGUGCAGGAGAGAAGAGUGGAAUUCCACGUGUAGCGGUGAAAUGCGUAGAGAUGUGGAGGAACACCAGUGGCGAAGGCGACUCUUUGGCCUGUAACUGACGCUGAGGCGCGAAAGCGUGGGGAGCAAACA